GAUGAACGCUGGCGGCGUGCCUAAUACAUGCAAGUCGAGCGAACAGACGAGGAGCUUGCUCCUCUUACGUUAGCGGCGGACGGGUGAGUAACACGUGGAUAACCUACCUAUAAGACUGGGAUAACUUCGGGAAACCGGAGCUAAUACCGGAUAAUAUAUUGAACCGCAUGGUUCAAUAGUGAAAGACGGUUUUGCUGUCACUUAUAGAUGGAUCCGCGCCGCAUUAGCUAGUUGGUAAGGUAACGGCUUACCAAGGCAACGAUGCGUAGCCGACCUGAGAGGGUGAUCGGCCACACUGGAACUGAGACACGGUCCAGACUCCUACGGGAGGCAGCAGUAGGGAAUAUUCCGCAAUGGGCGAAAGCCUGACGGAGCAACGCCGCGUGAGUGAUGAAGGUCUUCGGAUCGUAAAACUCUGUUAUUAGGGAAGAACAAAUGUGUAAGUAACUAUGCACGUCUUGACGGUACCUAAUCAGAAAGCCACGGCUAACUACGUG
rnacentral:rRNA from 1 species